rnacentral:rRNA from 1 species
UGCCAGCCGCCGCGGUAAUACGUAAGGGGCAAGCGUUGUUCGGAUUCAUUGGGCGUAAAGGGCACGCAGGCGGAUUGUUAAGUUGGGUGUAUAACCUCCAGGCUCAACCUGGAGUCUGCACCCAAAACUGGCAGUCUAGAGUUUUGAAGAGGAAAGCGGAAUUCUUGGUGUAGCGGUGGAAUGCGUAGAUAUCAAGAGGAAUACCAAUGGCGAAGGCAGCUUUCUGGACAAAAACUGACGCUCAGGUGCGAAAGCGUGGGGAGCAAACAGGCUUAGAUA